rnacentral:tRNA from 1 species
GGCGACGUGGCCGAGUGGUCAAGGCAGCGGUCUGCAAAACCGUUUUGCAGCGGUUCGAAUCCGCUCGUCGCCU